CACGUAAGGUGCGAGCGUUGUUCGGAAUUAUUGGGCGUAAAGGGCUCGUAGGCGGUUUGCCAAGUCUCUCGUGAAAACCCGGGGCUCAACCCCGGAUCCGCGAGGGAAACUGGCAGGCUAGAAUCUUAGAGGGGGUACUGGAAUUCUUGGUGUAGGGGUGGAAUCCGUUGAUAUCAGGAAGAACACCGGAGGCGAAGGCGAGUACCUGGACAAAGAUUGACGCUGAUGAGCGAAAGCGUAGGUAGCAAACAGG
rnacentral:rRNA from 1 species